GCUGUAGACGGAGGGACACCAGCGCCAUCUUUGGGGUCCUCUAUCUGUUAAACAUAACCGACAAAAACAACAGUCUCGCAGAUUUUUUUAAUCCAAGUUACUUAAAAAUAAUUUAGCUAUGGUAGAACUUGCUGCGUUAUUGAAUGUAAUGUCCGAUCACACGACUGAAACGGUAAAAAGAUGGAAAACGGACUUUCUUUUCAUUAUUUUCCUGCUUGGAAACAACGUGUGGAGCUAACGAACAGAAGACGAAUGUCCUGGUAUCAGCGGCGAGACGUCCUGAUAUUACCUUCUCCAACAUCCCCAGAUACCUACAAGUUCCCUCUAAACAUUUCUAUUCUGGCAAACCGACGUAUGAAAUGGAUGAGCUCAAUCCUGACUGGGUUCCAGUACUGAAUAUGGGUCACUGCGAGGUAAACGCCACAACGUUGGACCGACAUGCGCGUCAAUUAAAGAGGCGAUACAGCAAAACCAUGGUGGAUCAACAAGUUACAGAGACUGUUUUCAUUAUUUACCCCAGAAGAGGUAAAUAAUGAAAACA